ACGAACGCUGGCGGCAGGCCUAACACAUGCAAGUCGAGCGGCCCUUCGGGGCAGCGGCGGACGGGUGAGUAACGCGUGGGAACGUGCCCUUUGGUACGGAACAACUGAGGGAAACUUCAGCUAAUACCGUAUGUGCCCUUCGGGGGAAAGAUUUAUCGCCAUUGGAGCGGCCCGCGUUAGAUUAGCUAGUUGGUAGGGUAAUGGCCUACCAAGGCGACGAUCUAUAGCUGGUCUGAGAGGAUGAUCAGCCACACUGGGACUGAGACACGGCCCAGACUCCUACGGGAGGCAGCAGUAGGGAAUCUUGCGCAAUGGGCGAAAGCCUGACGCAGCCAUGCCGCGUGAAUGAUGAAGGUCUUAGGAUUGUAAAAUUCUUUCACCGGGGACGAUAAUGACGGUACCCGGAGAAGAAGCCCCGGCUAACUUCGUGCCAGCCGCCGCAGUAAGAC
rnacentral:rRNA from 1 species